rnacentral:lncRNA from 1 species
CACCCAAAUAUCCUCCUAUGGUCAACUAUUCCAUCGAAUUUACGUUCGGGUUCGCCAACAAAACAUUGGCUUUUCUGGUUGUUGGUUCGACAUAAAUUUUGCCUGAAAGUUCCAUUAGAUGUAUGAUCUAGCUCAAUUCAAUUUAACAAAAAUAAAUAAUUUGAACCGUACCAAAAAUACAUGAUAGAUUCAAUAGAUCGAAAAGGAAUCCA